rnacentral:rRNA from 1 species
UGCCUUUCGACUUUACUAUGGAAGGUUCAUCCUGCCCAAUGACUCUUAGUUCAAUGGCCGCGGUAUCUUGACCGUGCAAAGGUAGCAUAAUCACUUGCCCCUUAAUUAGGGGCUGGCAUGAAAGGACACACGAAAGCUUCCCUGUCUCACAAUAAUAAAUAAAAAUUAAUCUUUAAGUGAAAAAGCUUAAAUAUAAUUGCAGGACAAGAAGACCCCGUUGAGCUUUAUUCUCUAUAGACCAAUCUAAAUAUUUAUUAUAUCAUAAACCUAAAAAAGAAUUUAGUUGGGGUGACUAAGGAACAUCAUAAACUUCCUCUAUCUAUUUAGGGCUAUUCCCCAAAAAAAUUGACCCACAAACCGUGAUCAAAAAAAUAAGCUACCACAGGGAUAACAGGCUAAUCUUUCUUAAGAGCCCAAAUUGUCAGAAAGGAUUGGCACCUCGAUGUUGGCUUAGGGGCCCCUAAUGGUGCAGAAGCCAUAAAAGGUAGGUUUGUUCAACCUUUAAAACCCU